AUAUGCUUCAACUCAAACAAGUAUUGUUUGUUACCCACAAACCAAGUAUGGCGAUUACAAACGCAGCUCUCAAGAAAUGUUUCUUUUCGGCAAUGUUUUUAUGUUUUGCCCUAAUUUUGACUUCUGGUGAGAAAAUUGAAACAUAUCCUCCCGGAGGUUGGCUAGCUCUAGGGACAUGUAGAGAUUCAAAGGACUGUUUCAAGCAAUGUGAAGCUAUGCGAGUUCCAUUUUAUGGUGUAAAAUGCCAACGAAAACCUGGUUCAUCAAGCCCAGAUAAAUAUUGUCUGUGUAAGAUGUAAAACUUGAUCUAAGUCCAAAAUAAUGUAUUCAACCUCAUCUUAUCAAUAAAAUUAUUUGAUUACGUUUUUAUGCGCA